ensembl:lncRNA
GCAGCCUAGUCUCUGCAGCCUAACCCUGUCCUCCCAGCCGCCCCCUGCUUGUGGCCCUUUGGAAAAGCCCACGGGCCCUUUUCACAGCGAGCUGACAUCACAGAUUGCAGGCAGGUACACGAGGAGGAAGACCCACAAACACGGGAAAGAUUCUUUUUUUUAACCAUCAUCAAAUUACAGAACGUAUCUUGUGAGGAUUCAGCGAGGUUUAUAGAGCAAAAGUAUCCAAUCCGAGGGGAGAAGAGAAACGGUAGAACUGCAAGGUUGUGACGCGGGCUGCGCCGGGCUGAGACGUCUCGGCCGCCCCUUAACAGCCCCGCAGGAGGGGGUUAGCUCAGAGCCGUCUACAGGAGACAGUGCAACCCACGGCUAUGAUAGAUUGUCUAGCAGCCGCAUUUUAAAAAGUAAAAAGGAGCAGGGAGAUCCCUCAGUUGGUUCCCGGAGAACAUUCCAGAAGAGCUGUCUCAGCCUCAGAACCUCUAAGGAGGCCCUGGGUGGAGUCUGUGGCAUUCGGUGGCGCGGUCCUCGCCUCGAAGGGAUCCCGGCUCUCUGGGAGCUCCGCUGCACCUCACUCCAGGGUACCGGCUUUGCCAGCUCCCUCUCAGGGGGAUCCAGAUCUCGCUGCGUGGCGCCCAGGAAUCCACACACACUGAACAGGACUCCCUAGGUGAUUUUUUCCACCUCAUAAAGUUUUGAGAAAUAUUGACCUAGGAGCUUGACUGAGGUUGUGAAGGGUCAUUUCAGAGACAUAACG